UUAAGCAUAUCAGUAAGCGGAGGAAAAGAAAAUAACAAUGAUUACCUCAGUAGCGGCGAGUGAAGAGGUACAAGCCCAAGAUGUUAAUCCGUAGUAAGGCUAUGGAAUUGUAAUCUAUGGAAUUUCUCAGAAGGUAUUGAUUCGUCAUAAGUUCUUUGGAACAAGACACCAUAGAGGGUGAAAGUCCCGUCUUUGGAUGAGUCAAGCCGUAUGAGGGGUUUCUAAGAGUCGGGUAGUUUGGGAAUGCUGCCCUAAGUGGGAGAUAAACUUCUCCUAAGGCUAAAUAUAAGAUAGGAGACCGAUAGCAUACAAGUACUGCGAAGGAAAGAUGAAAAGAACUUUGAAAAGAGGGUUAAAAGACUUGAAAUCGUUGAAAAGGAAGCAGUAAAAGAGAAAUUAUAGCCUGCAAAUUAAGCUAUUAGCGUAAGCUUAGAGGUGGAGGAAACUUAACAGGUUCCUUGCCGAGAAGUGAAAGCGAAUGGUGUUUUGCAGGUGAAAGACAAAAUGACAUCUUUGCAUAAUAAUAAGGCUGAAAGUGCAUUCUGAAGCUCGAAAUUAUGCAGGGGUGUGAGGGAUUAGCUAAUGAUUUUGUCAAAAUGGCUUUUACUGACCCGUCUUGAAACACGGACCAAGGAGUCUACCCAUUAUGCGAGUGUUAGGGUGGAAAAACCCAAACGCAUACCGAAAGGGAUGUAAGAUGUGAAGCGAAAGCCGCAACAUCAACCAAUCUUGAUUCUUUGAUGAAGGACUUGAGUAAGAGCAUAAUUGGUAGGACCCGAAAGAUGGUGAACUACGGUUGAAUAGGGUGAAGCCAGGGGAAACUCUGGUGGAGGCUCGAAGCGUUACUGACGUGCAAAUCGCUCGUCAAAUUUGACUGUAGGGGCGAAAGACUAAUCGAACCAUCUAGUAGCUGGUUCCCUCUGAAAUUUCUCUCAGGAUAGCAGGAACAGAUUAUGCAGUUUUAUCAGGUAAAGCUAAUGAUUAGUGGACUCGGGGGUCUGAGACUCUCGACCAAUUCUCAAACUUUAAAUUGGUAAGAACUUUCAGUUAUCUUCAUUGAACUGAAGGGAUGAAUGCAUUGUUUCUAGUGGGCCAUUUUUGGUAAGCAGAACUGGCGAUGAGGGAUGAACCUAACGUUGAGAUAAGGUGCCAAAAUUCACGCUCAUGAGACACCAGAAAAGGUGUUGGUUAGUAUAAACAGCCGGACUGUGGCCAUGGAAGUCGGCACCAGCUAAGGAGUGUGUAACAACUCACCAGCCGAAUUAACCAGCCCUGAAAAUUGAUGGCGCUAAGCGUGAUACCGAUACUCAACCAUUAUGGCAAAUAGAAGCUGUAAUGAGUAAGAGGGCGUGAAUACUGUGCAGAAGGCUUGGAUGUGAAUCUGGCUGGAACAGUAUUUAGUGCAGAUCUUGGUGGUAGUAGCAAAUAUUCAAAUGAGAACUUUGAAGACCGAAGUGGAGAAGGGUUCCAUGAGAACAGCAUUUGUUCAUGGGUUACUCGAUCCUAAGACAUAGGGAAAUUCCUUGUAAUAUAUGUAUUCUUACGAAUGCAUUGUCAAAAGGGAAUGAGGUUGAUAUUCCUCAAGCUGGAUGUGGUGGUAACGUGGUAACACAAACAAGCUCGGAAACGCCGGUAUGUGCAACUGGAAGAGUUCUCUUUUCUUCUUAACAAUCUAUCUCCCUGAAUGGAUUAUCCAAAGCAAGGGAUAUAUGGUUGGCAGAGCAGUUCACCAUCGAAUUGUCAGUGAUGCUCAUAACGGCCCUUGAAAAUCUGAGUAAGGUUCUCCAAACACACCAGGUCGUACCCAUAACCGCAUCAGGUCUCCAAGGUU
rnacentral:rRNA from 1 species